UACGCAGGGGGCUAGCGUUGUUCGGAAUUACUGGGCGUAAAGCGCACGUAGGCGGAUUUGCCAGUCAGGGGUGAAAUCCCGGGGCUCAACCUCGGAACUGCCUCUGAUACAGCAAGUCUUGAGUCCGGAAGAGGUGGGUGGAAUUCCUAGUGUAGAGGUGAAAUUCGUAGAUAUUAGGAAGAACACCAGUGGCGAAGGCGGAUCUCUGGGCCGAUACUGACGCUGAGGAGCGAAAGCGUGGGGAGCGAACAGG
rnacentral:rRNA from 1 species